AUGGAGCUCUAUGAGGAGUAUAUGGCACCUACUUGCGGACAUGGAUUUUCAGUUUACCUCUACACGUUGGUUGAAAGAUCUACUGGAGUUUGUGCCGAAAAGUAUGGUCGACUACAUCAUCUUGACUGCUUGGCGAGCAUGGCAGAGGAUGGCUCGGCCGGAGCUGGAACGGGGCUUCAAGAUGAAAAUGGGACCAUAAUUUUCUUGGCGUGUCGUCAACUGCUGAACUGUUCAGAUCCUUUUGAGGCCGAAACAAGGGCAUGUACCGUUAGUGGCUCCCGCAGUAGCAAUAUGAUGAUGUGUGAUGCUGCCUGCUGCAGUCAGUGGCUGCCGCUGCGGCUUGGUGCAAUUCCUGCCUCGCUAUGCACUCCUAUCUCCGUCUAUCGUUGCUAUGCGUUGCUUCCUAUAUCCCUCUCUCUUCCUCUUGUAUUUCGUUGGGGGGGUCGUGACCCCCUUUGGCCUCCAAGAGGCUCCGCCACUGCGCACCUAGACGGAGGGAGUACUACAUUUUUGCCUCAGAGUACUAUUUUUGGUGCGUACCAUGUGUUGACUAGAAAAACAACACUAGCUGCCCAGAAGAAGAGGAAUUGCAAGAACCCAUUCACCAUGGCACGUCCAAGGAACGACACACAUAUUUUGUUCUUGGUUGUAGCUCUUCUGGUCAUGUCUACCGCCUUCCUGCCCUGUAACGCAGAUAAUCUGUUCUUUCUUUCCCUUGGUACAAAACUGACAGUUCAUCUCUGUUCGUGCCGCUGUGCAGUCGACCCACCCAGCUGGUGCACGCCGGAGGCGGUUUGCCAGGACCCGGUUACGCCGGGAAACAGGGAAACGUGCAAAAGCAUCUGCAAAAGUUUUGGCUACAACCCGGAACAAGCCUACUGCAAUCCCGAUCCCACUCCGAGGUGCUGCUGCAUCUAUUAA
rnacentral:rRNA from 1 species